rnacentral:lncRNA from 1 species
GGAGAGAAGAAAAAGUUAGUGGUUUUUAACCAAAUCUUAAUAUUUAAGGGUUUAAUUGACAUUUUUUCUUUAAAACAGAAAAAAAAAAAAUCUGAGAAGACGUCUUAUUAUCAAAACCUUUAGUUUGGUUUUAAAUAAAUAAAUAUUCAUUUGUAAAGAAUCUUGACGAGUAAACAUUAAGUACAUAAAAAUAUAGGCAUUUGCUAUUGUUAUUUAUUUUUCAUGUGGAAUUUUUUGGAAAAUCUUAAAGCUGAAAUUACUUAAAUAUUUUAAUUUGGCCAAUCAAAAUAAUAUAUGUUUUAGAUCUAUUAAAUAACUUGGUGAA